CAGAGAAUGCAAGUUUGAAAACGAUGAAUACAGACCAGUUACUUGAUCUAUUUACUUCGGCCGAAAGUAAAAAGGGAGCCAGUAGAUCCAAAAGAAGCGAUGAAAAAUCUGAUGUGGACUCAAUCUUGCCACGUAGUGGGAAGGGCUUGAAAGCCAUUCUCGGAGGAUUGGAGGAGCUUUGGGAUCAGUCACAAUACACAGAGGAGUACAACCUGGGCCAGUUCUUAGCAAAGCUUAAUGGUUAAUUAUCUAAACUUCUCUGCACAUUGCAUUGGAAUAUGCUGAGCAAGGUAGGGAUGAGAUGCAGCUGUGCGUUCCAUGUACAAAGUGUACAUUCUUUGAGUCUGCCCACAAUUUUGACGAUUAGAGGUAGUUCUCUUUUAUAUUGUUUUCGUGAUAAUUCUAGGCAGGCAAAUACAUUUUUGGACUCCAUUGACAUAGAAGAGUUUAUAGCGGAGCACAGUUGUGGGAUGCCCCUGUUAGGAAAGCUGACAUUUGUAAAUCUUGGAUGAUGUAAAUACAUUCAGCUUUUCUUUAUUAAUUGAUGCAAUCAAAAAUGAAUGUUGGUUUCA